GACGAACGCUGGCGGCGUGCUUAACACAUGCAAGUCGAACGCUGAAGCUCAGCUUUUGUUGGGUGGAUGAGUGGCGAACGGGUGAGUAACACGUGAGUAACCUGCCCCCUUCUUUGGGAUAACGCCCGGAAACGGGUGCUACUACUGGAUAUUCACUGGUCUUCGCAUGGGGGCUGGUGGAAAGGGGUUUUUUGGUGGGGGAUGGGCUCGUGGCCUAUCGGCUUGUUGGUGGGGUGAUGGGGUAACGAUGCGUUGACGGGUAGACGGCCUGAGCGGGUGACCGGGCACAGAGGGACGGAGAUGCGGCCCAGACGACGACGGGGGGGAGCAGUGGGGAAUAUUGCGCAAUGGGUGAAAGACUGAUGCAGCGUCGCCGCGGGAGGGAUGGGGGCUUUCGGGUUGUGAACCUCGGGAGCAAAUGGUCAGGCCGAAACAAUGGUUGUGGUGAGGGUAGUGGGUAAAGAAGCGCCGGCUAACUACGUG
rnacentral:rRNA from 1 species